GAUGAACGCUGGCGGCGUGCCUAAUACAUGCAAGUCGAGCGAACAGAUGAGGCGCUUGCUCCUCUGACGUUAGCGGCGGACGGGUGAGUAACACGUGGAUAACCUACCUAUAAGACUGGGAUAACUUCGGGAAACCGGAGCUAAUCCCGGAUAAUAUAUUGAACCGCAUGGUUCAAUAGUGAAAGACGGUUUUGCUGUCACUUAUAGAUGGAUCCGCGCCGCAUUAGCUAGUUGUUAAGGUAACGGCUUACCAAGGCAACGAUGCGUAGCCGACCUGAGAGGGUGAUAGCCCACACUGGAACGUAAACACGGUCCAGACUCCUGCGAGAGGCAGCAGUAGGGAAUCUUCCGCAAUGGGCGAGAGCCUGACGGAGUAACGCCACGUGAGUGAUGAAGGUCUUCGGAUCGUAAAACUCUGUUAUGAGGGAAGAACAAAUGUGUAAGUAACUAUGCACGUCUUGACGGUACCGAAUCAGAAAGCCCCGGCUAACUACGUG
rnacentral:rRNA from 1 species